AAAAAAAAAAAAGAAAAAAAAAAGAUAUGCAUAUGUUCCUUAUGAGGCACUAAGAAAAAAAAUGAAAAAGAAAAUUAAGAAAUGCAUACAUGUAUGUUCCUAAUGAGGUAGUUAGAAAGAAAAAAAAAGAAAAAUAUAUAAAAAAAAAUAUGCAUAUGUUCCUUAUGAAAAAAAUCAAAAAAGGAGCAAGUAACCCACGACAAAUACCUUCUUUACAAUAUUAACAUUCAUAACAAAUAUACAAGGUUUAUAAUCCAAAACGCAUUGUUGAAAAAGUGGCUAUACUAUAAGCAGACCACUUAUCAACGUUUUACUGAUUUUCUAAUAUGCAAACACAUAAUGUUCGUGGUCUUUUCUCAUGUAUCUGGUUAAAGUUUGAUGAAAUAUAAAAUACUAGUCGGUUAGUAUAAAUUCAAACAAAAAGAGCUAGUUUAAACGUUAUAAAAAGGCGUUUUUUUCUGUUUUACUAUGAAUUUAUCGAAUUAUGUGAAUAUUUUCUAUAC
rnacentral:lncRNA from 1 species